rnacentral:rRNA from 1 species
UACGAAGGGGGCUAGCGUUGUUCGGAUUUACUGGGCGUAAAGCGCACGUAGGCGGAUUGUUAAGUGAGGGGUGAAAUCCCAGGGCUCAACCCUGGAACUGCCUUUCAUACUGGCAAUCUCGAGUCCGGAAGAGGUGAGUGGAACUCCUAGUGUAGAGGUGGAAUUCGUAGAUAUCGGGAGGAACACCUGUGGCGAAAGCGGCUCACUGGACCACAACUGACGCUGAGGCGCGAAAGCUAGGGGAGCAAACAGG